rnacentral:rRNA from 1 species
GAGUGGCGGCGUGCUUACCAUGCAGUCGAACGAUGAACCCGCUUCGGUGGGGGAUUAGUGGCGAACGGGUGAGUAACACGUGGGCAAUCUGCCCUUCACUCUGGGACAAGCCCUGGAAACGGGGUCUAAUACCGGAUACGACCACUUCAGGCAUCUGAUGGUGGUGGAAAGCUCCGGCGGUGAAGGAUGAGCCCGCGGCCUAUCAGCUUGUUGGUGGGGUAAUGGCCCACCAAGGCGACGACGGGUAGCCGGCCUGAGAGGGCGACCGGCCACACUGGGACUGAGACACGGCCCAGACUCCUACGGGAGGCAGCAGUGGGGAAUAUUGCACAAUGGGCGAAAGCCUGAUGCAGCGACGCCGCGUGAGGGAUGACGGCCUUCGGGUUGUAAACCUCUUUCAGCAGGGAAGAAGCGAAAGUGACGGUACCUGCAGAAGAAGCGCCGGCUAACUACGUGCCAGCAGCCGCGGUAAUACGUAGGGCGCAAGCGUUGUCCGGAAUUAUUGGGCGUAAAGAGCUCGUAGGCGGCUUGUCGCGUCGGAUGUGAAAGCCCGGGGCUUAACCCCGGGUCUGCAUUCGAUACGGGCAGGCUAGAGUGUGGUAG